GAUGAACGCUGGCGGCGUGCCUAACACAUGCAAGUCGAACGAACAGACGAGGAGCUUGCCUUCUUUACGUUAGCGGCGCACGGGUGAGUAACAUGUGGAUAACCUACCUAUAUGACUGGGAUAACCUCGUGAAACCGGUGCUAAUACCGGAUAACAUUCUGAACCGCAUGGUUCAACAGUGUAAGACGGUCUUGCUGUCACUUAUAGAUGGUUCCGCGCGGGAUUAGCUAGUUGGUCAGGUAACGGCUUACCAAGGCGACGAUGCGUAGCCGACCUGAGAGGGUGAUCAGCCACACUGGAACUGAGACACGGUCCAGACUCCUACGGGAGGCAGCAGUAGGGAAUAUUCCACAAUGGGCGAAAGCCUGACGGAGCAACGCCGCGUGAGUGAAGAAGGUCUUCGGAUCGUAAAGCUCUGUUAUUAGGGAAGAACAAAUGUGUAAGUAAAUAUGCACGUAUUGACGGUACCUAAUCAAGAAGCACCGGCUAACUACGUG
rnacentral:rRNA from 1 species